rnacentral:rRNA from 1 species
UACAGAGGGUGCGAGCGUUAAUCGGAAUUACUGGGCGUAAAGCGUGCGUAGACGGUUAUUUAAGUCGGGUGUGAAAUCUCCGGGCUUAACUCGGAAAGGUCAACUGAUACUGUGCGACUAGAGUGCAGAAGGGGCAACUGGAAUUCUCGGUGUAGCGGUGAAAUGCGUAGAUAUCGAGAGGAACACCUGCGGCGAAGGCGGGUUGCUGGGCUGACACUGACGCUGAUGCGCGAAAGCCAGGGGAGCGAACGGG